GUCUAUGGCCAUGCCACCCUGAAUAAGCCCAAUCCCAUCUGAUCUUGAAAGCUAAAAAGGGUCGGGCCUGGUUAGUACUUGGAUGGGAGACCACCUGGGAAUACCAGGUGCUGCAAUCA
rnacentral:rRNA from 1 species